AUGGAAAUUCCCCGAAAACUGGGAAAUCCCGAAGACAUAAAAAGAGCGAUCGCUUGUCGUGCAGGUAGCAGCACUUUGCCAGAGUCUUUAGUGGAGCUCAGCAUGCAGACAUCUCAUAGGAAUGAUCCGGCCCACGGGCUGAGACAGGUGCAAAGCGAGUCCUUCUUCUGGGAGGAGACAGAACAAGAGCAGCUGCAAUCAAGCUCUGGAACUCGCGCAAGAUGUAUGUCCUGUUUCUCUGGGAUCUACGAGAAGCUUAAAUGUCGUUUCUUCACACGCAGAAACCAGACUGAAACAGCUGAAACUGAGGAUCUUUCAACUCCCGUUCAAGAGACUGAGCCGGUACAAUUCCAGAGCUCUGUUCGUCCUUGGUUUGAUUUGUGAACAACACACUAGAUUGUUUAUAUUUAUUUUUUUAUACUUCAGUUGUAUAUAUUUUAAUUCGGUGCUACAUUUUAUGCUGCUUUCCAGAAAAUCCUGAUGACUGAGCCUGCUUUCCAAAAUUAUUGAAGGAUUUCAACUACUGUUCACUUAACACUCCUUACACACCCCCUGCAGAAAAUGAUUUUGAUUAUAACUUGAUAUCAUAAAAUGAUAUCUUAUCAUAUAUAUUUUUAAACCAAUUUUAUGUGUAUCUAUUUGUGUCAGCCAUAACAAGCACAGGAUCCAAAAUCUUUAUCUUUCUUAUUAGAAAAUGCACAGAUUCAGAAAUAAGGUUUAUAAGGUCAGUUACAGGGAACGAUAAGCUGAACUGAUUAAGACACCCAGGGAACUGAUGUUUACAGUAUUUCUCAAGAAUAUUUAUUUCGGAGAGUUUGUACAAAAUACACAGAGAAACUGAAAAAAUAAUUAUAGUGUACAUUGCACGUUAUUGUUAUUAAUAACAAUACUCUCCUGUUUCUUCUGAAGGAUAUAAUGCUAUUGUGUAAAUAAAAUAAAUUAUCCUGAUAUUAAAAUUAUCCAAAAAUAAAGUGCAAAACAAUUCAACAGAAAGGAAGAAUAGAGUGAGCAUCAAUCAAGUCAGUAUCUCAAAUAAUUCCUUUUAUUUGCAGUGGGAGCUUAUGACUAGCUUAUGUAAUUAAAUUAAAUAUGCCUUUGCCCCCAAUUUAAGCAUUUUAAACUACAAACAAAAUAUAAAACAUAAAAUGCUUGCCAUAUGAGACAGGCAUGACCAACCUUUCUUUUUGCAGUCUAUCAAAAGCUUCCAAAUGUUUGAUUUAGAGUUUUAAACCUACCCCUGUUAAAGUAUUUUAGAUUUAAAAAUGAUUUGUUAAGUUGUGCAAUAAUUUAGAACUUUGAAAAGCACUGUGGGCUCUGCUAGAGUUCAUAUAUUUUGACAUUGUUCUAAUGAGACAAACUGAAUGUGUCAUGAAAACAGGAGAUGUUGUUCUGUAUCAUGCACUAUAAUGGUUUCACUGUGGCAUUAUCAGAUAUAGUCUACGUUGUUAUGCAGGUGAACAAGUAAAGGUUUAUUCUAUGCUGAAUAGAGAAGAAAAGAAACACGUUUCAGCUGUGGAGCCUUCUUCAGGUGUGACAUUCAAAAGAAUGUCUUCGGGCUCCACAGCUGAAACGUUAUGUUUCUUUUCUUCUCUUUUCAGCAUGAAUUAACCUUUACUUGUUCCUUUGCAGUCAGCUACCUACUUGAAUUGUCAUGCAUAUGGUUAUAUGCUAACAUUUUUGCACUUUUAUUUUCUAAAAUGGUAAAUACUCAGUUCACCAUUGAGAAAUUAUGGAAAUUAUUCUGUUACAUGUAAAGUAUUAACAUUCUAAGUAAGAAAACACAGCCAUGUCCCUUGUCGAUUCAUUUUUACUAAAAGAAUGUCUAAAAGAUUGCUGCUGUUGUGCAAUUUCAAUUUUUAAUACUAAAUGAAUGUUUUCUACAUCAGUAAAAAUGCAGCUAUUUAAAAUGCAAAUAAAACAUUGUAUGUUUCAUUGUUAAUUCCUGUGGUUUUUCCUUAGUCUGCUUUUUGUGAGUGUUCAGUUGCACUUUCUAACUCUGCAUUGAAGAGGUAGUCUAGGAGGGAGUAACACCUACACAUUUGGAAAUAGAGCAAGAGUGAGCCUUUGACAUACAUGGCUGCUCUGCAGAUC
ensembl:lincRNA